GACGAACGCUGGCGGCGUGCCUAAUACAUGCAAGUCGAACGCAGUGGGGACGGGUGAGUAACACGUGGGUAACCUCCCAUCAGAGGGGAUAACACUUGGAAACAGGUGCUAAACCGAUACUGAUGGAUGGACCCGCGGUGCAUUAGCUAGUUGGGGGGGUAACGGUUCACCAAGGCCAGGAGGCAUAGCCGACGUGAGAGGGUGAUCGGCCAAACUGGGACUGAGCAACGGCCCAGCCUCCUACGGGAGGCAGCAGGAGGGAAUCUUCGGCAAUGGGCGAAAGUCGGACCGAGCAACGCCGCGUGAGUGAAGAAGGUUUUCGGAUCGUAAAACUCUGUUGUUAGAGAAGCGGUAUCUAACCAGAAAGCCACGGCUAACUACGUGCCAGCCGCCGCGGUAAUUC
rnacentral:rRNA from 1 species